rnacentral:misc_RNA from 1 species
GCAAACUUGGUCAUUUAGAGGAAGUACAAGUCGUAACAAGGUUUCCGUAGGUGAACCUGCGGAAGGAUCAUUAUUGAAUUCAUCCAUAAAACGAGAGCGCGCCCAGUCUCGCGGUCGGUGCCGGAGCGAUUCGGUGCUGUGCUGUAGUUCUGUCAGCGCGCUCUUAAACCCCUUGUGAACCGUAAACAACUCUCUGCCUGCUAACUUAAUUGGCGGCUGGUGGAGAGACCAAUUAUUUAAACCUGUUUAUUGUGUAUGUCAAUUAGCAUUUCUCUUUAAAGAGAAAAGUAGCGUAGCGAUGCGCGAAUCUCUUUAAAAGAACCAUAAUUUAAUAUAUAAUACAACUUUUAACAAUGGAUCUCUUGGCUCUCGCAUCGAUGAAGAACGCAGC